UGGGGAAUAUUGGACAAUGGGCGCAAGCCUGAUCCAGCCAUGCCGCGUGAGUGAUGAAGGCCCUAGGGUUGUAAAGCUCUUUCACCGGUGAAGAUAAUGACGGUAACCGGAGAAGAAGCCCCGGCUAACUUCGUGCCAGCAGCCGCGGUAAUACGAAGGGGGCUAGCGUUGUUCGGAUUUACUGGGCGUAAAGCGCACGUAGGCGGACUUUUAAGUCAGGGGUGAAAUCCCGGGGCUCAACCCCGGAACUGCCUUUGAUACUGGAAGUCUUGAGUAUGGUAGAGGUGAGUGGAAUUCCGAGUGUAGAGGUGAAAUUCGUAGAUAUUCGGAGGAACAACAGUGGCGAAGGCGGCUCACUGGACCAUUACUGACGCUGAGGUGCGAAAGCGUGGGGAGCAAACAGG
rnacentral:rRNA from 1 species